rnacentral:tRNA from 1 species
GCGCCCCUAGCUCAGCAGGAUAGAGCAACAGCCUUCUAAGCUGUGGGUCGGGCGUUCGAAUCGCCCGGGGCGCGCCA